CAGGUCGAGAGGCGCUGCAACGGACCAAGGCGGUCCGCCACGCUCGACCGGACCCACCCGGACAAGGGCGCCUCCGAUUC
rnacentral:ncRNA from 2 species